UACGUAGGGUGCGAGCGUUACUCGGAAUUACUGGGCGUAAAGCGUGCGCAGGCGGUUCUUCAAGUCCGUUGUGAAAGCCCCGGGCUCAACCUGGGAAUGGCAGUGGAAACUAGGGGACUGGAAUCUGGCAGAGGGGGGUGGAAUGCCGCGUGUAGCAGUGAAAUGCGUAGAGAUGCGGCGGAACACCGAUGGCGAAGGCAGCCCCCUGGGCUGAGAUUGACGCUCAGGCACGAAAGCGUGGGGAGCAAACAGG
rnacentral:rRNA from 1 species